rnacentral:rRNA from 1 species
UACGUAGGGGGCGAGCGUUGUCCGGAAUCAUUGGGCGUAAAGAGCGUGUAGGUGGACUGGAAGGUCUGGUGUGAAAGCCCGGGGCUCAACCCCGGAGGGUCACUGGAAACCAACAGUCUUGAGUCUGGAAGAGGAGAGUGGAAUUCCUGGUGUAGCGGUGGAAUGCGCAGAUAUCAAGAGGAACACCAAUGGCGAAGGCAGCUCUCUGGUACAUGACUGACACUGAGACGCGAAAGCGUGGGGAGCGAACAGG